UACGAAGGGGGCGAGCGUUGUUCGGAUUUACUGGGCGUAAAGGGCGCGCAGGCGGUCUUGAAAGUCAGGCGUGAAAGCCCCGGGCUUAACCUGGGAAUUGCGCUUGAUACUCUGAGACUGGAGUACGGGAGAGGAGAGUGGAAUUCCCAGUGUAGAGAUGAAAUUCGUAGAUAUUGGGAAGAACACCAGUGGCGAAGGCGGCUCUCUGGACCGUAACUGACGCUGAGGCGCGAAAGCGUGGGGAGCAAACAGG
rnacentral:rRNA from 1 species